rnacentral:rRNA from 1 species
AUUGAACGCUGGCGGCAGGCCUAACACAUGCAAGUCGAGCGAGCGGCGGACGGGUGAGUAAUGUCUGGGAAACUGCCUGAUGGAGGGGGAUAACUACUGGAAACGGUAGCUAAUACCGCAUACCAUCAGAUGUGCCCCGAUGGGAUUAGCUAGUAGGUGGGGUAACGGCUCACCUAGGCGACGAUCCCUCGCUGGUCUGCGGGGAUGACCAGCCACACUGGAACGGGGCAACGGUCAAGACUCCUACGGGAGGCAGCAGUGGGGAAUAUUGGACAAGGGGCGCAAGCCUGAUGCAGACAUGCCGCUGGUGUGAAGAAGGCCUUCGGGUUGUAAAGCACUUUCAGCGGGGAGGCGUUACCCGAAGAAGAAGCACCGGCUAACUCCGUGCCAGCAGCCGCGGUAAUUC